CCUACGGGUGGCAGCAGUCGAGAAUCAUUCACAAUGGGGGAAACCCUGAUGGUGCGACGCCGCGUGGGGGAAUGAAGGUCUUCGGAUUGUAAACCCCUGUCAUGUGGGAGCAAAUUAAAAAGAUAGUACCACAAGAGGAAGAGACGGCUAACUCUGUGCCAGCAGCCGCGGUAAUACAGAGGUCUCAAGCGUUGUUCGGAACCACUGGGCGUAAAGCGUGCGUAGGCUGUUUCGUAAGUCGUGUGUGAAAGGCGCGGGCUCAACCCGCGGACGGCACAUGAUACUGCGAGACUAGAGUAAGGGAGGGGGAACCGGAAUUCUCGGUGUAGCAGUGAAAUGCGUAGAUAUCGAGAGGAACACUCGUGGCGAAGGCGGGUUCCUGGACAUUAACUGACGCUGAGGCACGAAGGCCAGGGGAGCGAAAGGGAUUAGAUACCCUAGUAGUC
rnacentral:rRNA from 1 species